UGGACGUAUCAGAAGUGCGAAUGCUGACAUAAGUAACGAUAAAACGGGUGAAAAACCCGUUCGCCGGAAGACCAAGGGUUCCUGUCCAACGUUAAUCGGGGCAGGGUGAGUCGGCCCCUAAGGCGAGGCUGAAAAGCGUAGUCGAUGGGAAACGGGUUAAUAUUCCCGUACUUGGAUAAACUGCGAUGUGGGGACGGAGUAGGUUAGGUUAUCGCACUGUUGGAUAUGUGCGUUUAAGUUGGUAGGUGUGAAGUUUAGGCAAAUCCGGACUUCUUUAACACCGAGAGAUGAUGACGAGGCUCUACGGAGCUGAAGUAACCGAUACCACACUUCCAGGAAAAGCCACUAAGCUUCAGGUUUAUCUAAACCGUACUGAAAACCGACACAGGUGGUCAGGUAGAGAAUACUCAGGCGCUUGAGAGAACUCGGGUGAAGGAACUAGGCAAAAUAGCACCGUAACUUCGGGAGAAGGUGCGCCGGCGUAGAUUGUAGUCCCUUGCGGGCGAAGGUUGAACCGGUCGAAGAUACCAGCUGGCUGCAACUGUUUAUUAAAAACACAGCACUCUGCAAACACGAAAGUGGACGUAUAGGGUGUGAUGCCUGCCCGGUGCUGGAAGGUUAAUUGAUGGUGUAAUCGAAAGAGAAGCUCCUGAUCGAAGCCCCAGUAAACGGCGGCCGUAACUAUAACGGUCCUAAGGUAGCGAAAUUCCUUGUCGGGUAAGUUCCGACCUGCACGAAUGGCAUAAUGAUGGCCAGGCUGUCUCCACCCGAGACUCAGUGAAAUUGAAAUCGCCGUGAAGAUGCGGUGUACCCGCGGCUAGACGGAAAGACCCCGUGAACCUUUACUAUAGCUUGACACUGAACAUUGAAUUUUGAUGUGUAGGAUAGGUGGGAGACUUAGAAGUAGUCACGCCAGUGAUUAUGGAGUCGACCUUGAAAUACCACCCUUUAACGUUUGAUGUUCUAACGAAGAUUACGAAACGUGGUCUCGGACAGUGUCUGGUGGGUAGUUUGACUGGGGCGGUCUCCUCCCAAAGAGUAACGGAGGAGCACGAAGGUUUGCUAAUGACGGUCGGACAUCGUCAGGUUAGUGCAAUGGUAUAAGCAAGCUUAACUGCGAGACAGACAAGUCGAGCAGGUACGAAAGUAGGUCAUAGUGAUCCGGUGGUUCUGAAUGGAAGGGCCAUCGCUCAACGGAUAAAAGGUACUCCGGGGAUAACAGGCUGAUACCGCCCAAGAGUUCAUAUCGACGGCGGUGUUUGGCACCUCGAUGUCGGCUCAUCACAUCCUGGGGCUGAAGUAGGUCCCAAGGGUAUGGCUGUUCGCCAUUUAAAGUGGUACGCGAGCUGGGUUUAGAACGUCGUGAGACAGUUCGGUCCCUAUCUGCCGUGGGCGUUGGAGAAUUGAUUGGGGCUGCUCCUAGUACGAGAGGACCGGAGUGGACGCACCACUGGUGUUCCGGUUGUGUCGCCAGACGCAUUGCCGGGUAGCUAAGUGCGGAAGAGAUAAGUGCUGAAAGCAUCUAAGCACGAAACUUGCCAAGAGAUGAGUUCUCCCUGUCUUUAAGACAGUAAGGGUUGUUUAAGACUAAGACGUAGAUAGGUCUGGUGUGUAAGCGGUGCGAGCCGUUGAGCUAACAGAUACUAAUUGCCCGAGAGGCUUAACUAU
rnacentral:rRNA from 1 species